UGCAAGUCGAACGCGAAAGUGGAGCAAUCCAUGAGUAGAGUGGCGAACGGGUGAGUAACACGUGGGUGACCUACCUUCGAAUGGGGGAUAACGUCCCGAAAGGGACGCUAAUACCGCAUAACAUCCUGCCUUUGAACAGGUGGAGAUCAAAGCCGGGGAUCGCAAGACCUGGCGUUUGGAGAGGGGCCCGCGUCUGAUUAGCUAGUUGGUGAGGUAACGGCCCACCAAGGCGACGAUCAGUAUCCGGCCUGAGAGGGCGGACGGACACACUGGGACUGAGACACGGCCCAGACUCCUACGGGAGGCAGCAGUGGGGAAUUGUUCACAAUGGGCGCAAGCCUGAUGACGCAACGCCGCGUGGAGGAUGAAGGUCUUCGGAUUGUAAACUCCUGUUGCUCGGGACGAAAAGCUUCAACCUAAUACGUUGAAGUCUGACGGUACCGGGUGAGGAAGCCCCGGCUAACUCUGUGCCAGCAGCCGCGGUAAUACAGAGGGGGCAAGCGUUGUUCGGAAUUACUGGGCGUAAAGGGCGCGUAGGCGGCCAUUUAAGUCAGACGUGAAAUCCCCGGGCUCAACCCGGGAACUGCGUCUGAUACUGGAUGGCUUGAAUCCGGGAGAGGGAUGUGGAAUUCCAGGUGUAGCGGUGAAAUGCGUAGAUAUCUGGAGGAACACCGGUGGCGAAGGCGGCAUCCUGGACCGGUAUUGACGCUGAGGCGCGAAAGCCAGGGGAGCAAACGGGAUUAGAUACCCCGGUAGUCCUGGCCCUAAACGAUGAAUGCUUGGUGUAGCGGGUAUCGAUCCCUGCUGUGCCGAAGCUAACGCAUUAAGCAUUCCGCCUGGGGAGUACGGUCGCAAGGCUG
rnacentral:rRNA from 1 species